rnacentral:rRNA from 1 species
AGGACGAACGCUGGCGGCGUGCCUAACACAUGCAAGUCGAGCGAGGAGAUUCCUUCGGGAUGAUCCUAGCGGCGGACGGGUGAGUAACACGUGGGCAACCUGCCUCAUAGAGAGGAAUAGCCUUCCGAAAGGGAGAUUAAUACCUCAUAACAUUGCAGUUUCGCAUGGAACAGCAAUUAAAGGAGUAAUCCGCUAUGAGAUGGGGCCCCGCGGCGCAUUAGCUAGUUGGUGAGGUAACGGCUCACCAAGGCGACGAUGCGUAGCCGACCUGAGAGGGUGAUCGGCCACAUUGGGACUGAGACACGGCCCAGACUCCUACGGGAGGCAGCAGUGGGGAAUAUUGCACAAUGGGGGAAACCCUGAUGCAAGCAACGCCGCGUGAGUGAUGACGGCCUUCGGGUUGUAAAGCUCUGUCUUCAGGGACGAUAAUGACGGUACCUGAGGAGGAAGCCACGGCUAACUACGUGCCAGCAGCCGC